GUUUUUAUAGUUUAAGUAAAAACAUUGGUCUUGUAAACCAAAAAUAAGAAUAUUCUUUAAAAACU
rnacentral:tRNA from 1 species